ACAAGACCCAGCACACCGUGAGGGAAGGCGGCCUGCCCUGCCCUUGGGUAAUGGGGGGCUUGCACCCACCCGGCAGGUCCGCAGAGGGGCUGUCCCAGCUCCCCACCCAGGAAACAGGACACAGCACAAGGCGCUCUGGGCACAGGCACAACCUGGUGCACUGUCCCUGGACGUGCAUGUCCCACAGAGGCUGCUCCUCUCCCAGUCUGACUCCCAGAGGUCAGCACUGUGCCCGGGCCAGCUGCUCCGGGGCCUUGUCUGGCAGGCACCUGCAUGGCGCUCUGACCCGUCCUGCCUUUGGGAUCCCCUUGGGGAAGGAGGCCCCCGGCCCUGUGUCCUCACCCGCUUUACGCAGGCCAGUGCUACCCGUGCGCCCUCAAGGGGGGCAUUUACUGCAUCUCAGAAGAUGCUAGAGGCCUGGCUGGCAGCCCUGCCGUCACUGCCACCCACACUGCCACUUGGUCACGGGCGGGCCCCACCUCCCAAGCGACAGGCAGACGGCCUUGUAUGGCUUAGCCGGGUGGCCUUUCAGGUGACUCUCCCUGUCCCAGAGUCAGGCCUUGGAGACAGACAGACACACACACUGCCCAGCUCCAUGGUGCCCCCAGCUGCUACGGGUCCACAGAGCCACCCAGGUCUUCAGGAGAGAGACACUGCUUUCUCCUGUUGUUGCACUGUUAGCGUUAAAUUACUAUUAGGGCUUUGAAUAGGGGAUAGUCGCAUGGCUAUAAAAUGACAUUCUGGAGUUCCCGUCGUGGCUCAGUGGUUAACAGACCUGACUAGCAAUCGGAACCUUACUCGGUGGGUCGGGGAUCCGGCGUUGCCAUGGGCUGUGGCAUAGGUCGCAGACGUGCCUCGGACGCCACACUGCUGUGGCUGUGGUGCAGGCCGGCAGCUGUAGCUCCCAUUGGACCCCUAGCCUGGGUACCUCCACGUGCCACGGGUACGGCCCUAAAAAGACAACACACACACACACACACACACACACACACACAAUGACAUUCUGUAAAAAGGAACAAAAAAGGCGUUAAACACCUUGGACACCACCCCUGUCAUCAGCUGCCCCGCUGCCCACGCUCCCCCUGAACUGGAAACGACUUUUAACUACUUUCUUGUCUCUCCAGAGUCUGGGUGCAGAAGGCCGGGGUGUGCGGAGCGUCUUCUCGGGGGGCGAGUCCUAAGACAGAGCCGCCGCCAGGACGCCGGUGCUGCCCCGCGGACCGGAUCCGAAUCCUGCCAUCCCUCUGAGGGGCCACACUCAGAGGGGCCGCGUGACAGCCUGCGGCGUGUACUUGAGCGGAAGAGGGGCAAGGCCGCGUCCAGAUGGCCUGGCCUAAGAGCCCGGAGGAGCAGCGCGGCCGCUGGGAGACCGGCCCAUUAAGGGCUCCUGGCCACGAGGCAGCGGAUGCGAACCAAGCCGCGCUCCUGACGCCUCUUCAAACAAACGCCUCUCACACAACCUGUCACCGAGAUGGCUGAGCAAACACGCAGCGGCGCCCCCAGCUCGCCGCAAGGGCCCGGAGCGGCAGAAGGCGCGCCAGGCUGGCCCUGGACGCAGAGGAAAACGUGCUGCCCGGGGCCCGGCGGCUCAGCGCCCAGCAACCACCCGCCGCCCGUGCCCCUUCCCCGGGAGACCGCCGCACCCCGCGCCCCCACCCCGCGGCCGAGGGCUGCCCUUCGGCCCCCCUGUCCUUGCUCCCCAAGGGCUGGGCCAUUAGGGCCCCCAGCAGAGGGACCCCCAUGGUCCCAGCGGCCUCUCUGGGGAGCGGCAGGCGGCUGCCGAGGCCCCAGCUCCCCCUGGCGAGCCCACCCUCAGCCUCAGCCUCUGACCUGAGUCCAAGAGAAGGCUGCCCCCGGCUCCCUUUUAGUUUUGUCCUCGUCAAGGUGAAAAGGGGUUUCUAUUCUCAACCAGUUGACUCACGUUAUUACUGCAAAGGCAAACAGUUCCGCAAACAGAACCACACUUGGCCCGAGUGACUGAAAAGGGAGCUGAAUCAGCGUGGGGACAUCUCUGCACAAGGACAAGCUCCUGAGACACACGCCCACCAGGGGAAGGACAGAGGAAGGCUGAGGAGGAGCACUGGGCCAGCUGUGACCAGGCCACCGACUCGCCGCGUCCUCUACUCUGCUGCAUGCCCGGCCCCCCACGGCACACCCGCUCCUGGGGCGUCGGAACCGCUAAGGGCCAAGGCCCCCCAGAUCGCUGUCUAAGCAAGAGGCCCAGAAGUCACAAGAUCCCCAGCUCGUGCUCCCAACUGACCCGGGCCCAACCAGAGGAGCAGAGUCCGCACACGGAGUCCCACGUUCGCGUCGCAGCCCAGCCCACAGAGUGGCUAAGAGGCAGCCCAGCAGAUUGGAUGCCUGAACCACCUCCUGGGUGAUUCUGAGGAUAGAGAUGCUACAAGGCGCUGGUGGGGGCUGCCAUGUCCGUCUCUGGAAAAGUGUGGGACCUUGAAAUCAGCAAACCUCUCUGAGCAUGAGCGUGGAUGGAGCAGGAAGACAUCUCGGGAAGCUUCCAGAAGGAGGCGUGGUCUAAACAUCACCUCCUGGGCCUACAACCCGGCAGAAAAGCCCAGCCUCUGUAAGUCUAAUAACAAUGAGUUAGGAGUUCCCCUCACGGCUCAGUGGAAACGAACCCGGCUCGUAUCCAUGAGGACGGGGGUUCGAUCCCUGGCCUCACCCAGUGGGUUGAAGAUCCAGCAUUGCCAUGUACUAAGGGGUAGGUCACAGACGCGGCUCGGAUCCCACGUUGCUGUGGUGUAGGCCGGCAGCUGUAGCUCCAAUGUGACCUCUAGCCUGGGAUCCUCCAUAGGCCGUGAGUGGGGCCCUAAAAAGAAAAAAAAAAAAAAGAAAGAAAGAAAAAGGAAAAAAAAGAAUAACUGGUUAGAACAACUAUCAGAGCUAAAAGUAAGGUUUUACUCUUCUUUCCUGGGAUACUUUUUAAAUGCUGUAACAUAUCCCAUAAUGAAGAUGAAUAAGAAAAUACAGUUUUUUAAGGAAUAAAAGUCACCUAUACUCUUUAAGUGAGACACAGAACGGACUGAAAAAAGGUUCAGCUUCCUUAAUCUAACCUUUAAGGAAUCCAGUCUAGGGGAUCAAAAACCUGGGUCUUGCCACCACCGCAAGCCCCAGCCUUGCAUCUUCAAGCUGCAUGAAAGGGCAGGAGAGGGACCUCAGCGCCAUGCUCCCAGGCCCUCUCCCACACCGCGUCCUCCCAACCCCGACCGAAAGGUGACAGGAGACCAGGAGCUGCAGACACUGAGGGCUCCAGACAGCGGUGUGGCAAGAAAGCAGCCAUCACAGGAACAUGAGGGCACGGAGGCCGGGAACCACGUUCCAGAGGGACGCUUGGCAAAGAAGUCAGCACCGCAGGUCCAGCCUGAAGUCCAAGAGUGUCCC